rnacentral:rRNA from 1 species
GAUGAACGCUGGCGGUAUGCUUAACACAUGCAAGUCGAACGGUACCUUCGGGUAUAGUGGCGGACGGGUGAGUAACGCGUGAGAAUCUGUCUUCAGGUCGGGGACAACAGUUAGAAAUGACUGCUAAUACCGGAUAUGCCUAUGGGUGAAAGAUUUAUUGCCUGAAAAAGAGCUCGCGUCAGAUUAGCUAGUAGGUGGUGUAAGAGACUACCUAGGCGACGAUCUGUAGCUGGUCCGAGAGGACGAUCAGCCACACUGGAACUGAGACACGGUCCAGACUCCUACGGGAGGCAGCAGUGGGGAAUUUUUCCGCAAUGGGCGAAAGCCUGACGGAGCAAUACCGCGUGAGGGACGAAGGCUUUUGGGUCGUAAACCUCUUUUCUCAAGGAAGAUAAUGACGGUACUUGAGGAAUAAGCAUCGGCUAACUCUGUGCCAGCAGCCGCGGUAAU